rnacentral:tRNA from 1 species
GCGGGUGUAGUUCAAUGGUAGAACGGUAGCUUCCUGCUGCAUACGUGGGUUCGAUUCCCAUCACCCGCUCCA